rnacentral:rRNA from 1 species
AGUGAACGCUGGCGGCGUGCUUAAUACAUGCAAGUCGAACGGACGAGUAAGAGCUUGCUCUUAUGAGUUAGUGGCGCACGGGUGAGUAAUGUAUAGCUAAUCUGCCCUACACUAGAGGACAACAGUUGGAAACGACUGCUAAUACUCUAUACUCCUGUCUGACAUAAGUUAGAUAGGGAAAGUUUUUCGGUGUAGGAUGAGGCUAUAUUGUAUCAGCUAGUUGGUGAGGUAAUGGCUCACCAAGGCUAUGACGCAUAACUGGUUUGAGAGGAUGAUCAGUCACACUGGAACUGAGACACGGUCCAGACUCCUACGGGAGGCAGCAGUAGGGAAUAUUGCUCAAUGGGGGAAACCCUGAAGCAGCAACGCCGCGUGGAGGAUGACACUUUUCGGAGCGUAAACUCCUUUUGUUAGGGAAGAACAAGACGGUA